rnacentral:lncRNA from 1 species
GGGUUUGGUUAGGGUUUGAUUUAGGAUUUGGAUUAGGAUUUGGAUUAGGGUUUAGAAUUUGAUUAGGAUUUGAUUUAGGAUUUGAAUUAGGGUUUGAUUUAAGAUUUGGAUAAGGAUUUAGGAUUUGAUUAGGAUUUAGAAUUUGGUUAGGAUUUAGGGUUAGAUUAGGGUUUAGAUUAGGGUUUAGAGUUUGGUUAGGAUUUGAUUUAAGGUUUGGUUUAGGAUUUGGAUUAGGGUUUAGGGUUGAUUUAGGAUUUGAUUUAGGGUUUAGGGUUUGAAAUAGGAUUUGAUUUAGGAUUUAAUUUAAGGUUUGUUUAGGAUUUGACUUAGGGUUUAGGAUUUAUUAGAAUUUAAGAUUUAAUUAUGUUUGGUCUAAAGUUUGAGUGAAAUUCAAUAGGGUUUUAAGUAGAAUUAAAUUAAGGUUGAAUUGACAUAUAUUUGAGUAAUAUUUGUGAUCAUUCUAAUAUUUCUUUAAGAAUUUUAUUGUUUGUUUGAAAUUUCUUUGAGUUGUUUUGAAUUUGAUUACGUUUAUUUACCAUUAUUAUAGUCUAAUUAGAGCAUUGUUAGUAUUCUAUUAGAAUCGGGAUUUUGUUAUCACAAUUUCUAUUCUUUCUUCUACAACCAGGUGCCCGGAGCAUUCUCAAACAAGACUUCACACAUUACGACAUAUUUGGUGAACCCGACGUGAAACGCUUGAGGUGGAAGGAAUUUAUUAUUAUUUUUAUUAUUUGAAUUUUGGAGAAGGAAUUAAAGGAGAAUGGAAGGAUGCAAUUUGGAUAGUGCUUCAAGUGGAGUUGGAAGAAGAGCUUCAUUUGGAGGACAAGGUAUGCAUUUUGAUCCUAACUCUGCAAGCUUGUUUGAAGCUUUGACCUUAUUCAUGCAACAAAAAGAGUAACAGGUUAAAGAUCGCAAAGAGAGUAUGGCUAAUAAAGCAUUACAAGCGGUCGUGGACAAGAACGAUCAAUUUGAAGGAAAAGAUAUUACAAAAUAUUUAAGAUGUUAUGUAAAAGAAAUGGAAUUGAAGCGUAUUUCAAAAAGCGAGAUGGUUCAAUUAUUUGAAUUAGCCUCUGCAUGAGAGAUAAGAAAUCAAGUUAAGUUUCUUAUACAACACUUUGGAGGUUCAUGGGAGAAAUUUUCUCAAGCUUUGAAGGAUAAGUUUUUCUUAGAAGAUAGUAAUAGGGUUACAAAAAGGACUUUUUUUGAAUGGAUUGAAAAGCCAGAGAAGGAUCUUCUAGCAAUAGAAUUAUUAAGGGAGUUUGAAAAGAAAUAUUUUUCUUUAUCAAAGAAAGAAAGAUAAUUAUUGGAUCCAAGUAAGGUGGAGCUCUUUCUUCAAGCAGCUGAUGGGAAGUUGCAAGAAAAGUUGGAAUUUAUGCUUGAAGUUAAAGAAGAAGCUGAAGGACUGACAACAAAUUGGGAAAGGGUAGAGGAUGAUAUAAGGACGUUGAUAAAAAGAGAAAGGAAAAAAGAUAUGGGGGGUGACCAAAGACCAUUACAAGCAUCUAAGGUAAAGGUGUGUAGUAUCCAUCUGACAUCUUUAAUUCAACCUUCAAUGACUACAACAAAGAAAGAAGAAACGGGAAUUGAUGAAAUCAUAUGUGGGAUGAGAGAUUUGUAAAUAAAAUUUACAAAACUUGAAAAGAAAGGUCAAUCAUCAAGAAUAUCAACAAAAAAAAGACCAAGGCCAAUGGAGGGUGUAGUACAUAGAUGCAUGUGGUGUGAUAGCAUAGAUCACUCGAGGAGGGAAUGUGAAGAAUUUACAGAGGCAUUACGUGAAAGAAUUUUUUUUUUUAGAGAUGGUAUGAUACACUCAAAAGAAAAUAGAGAAAAAUUAGAAACAAAUUUUGGUAAAGGAGGAAUGAAGUUAUUUAUUGGAGAUACUUUUAAAGUGUAGACAAUCUCAAGCAAUGAAGCAUCAAUAUAUUGGAUAGAAGCAGAUCCUAGUAGAUGUUUAAAUAUAAAUCUUGAGUUUUUGGGAGAAUCUAGUUCUUUAUGGACAAGUGCAAUAAGGUAUGCUGAAAGGAGAAAUUUUACAAGAGAUGAUUUAAAAUGUGUUGGUAAUAACAUUCGAUAAAUUACUGAGUGGGAUGAUCUAGUAGAUAGAUUAUCUGUACAUGCUCAUAUUGCAAGGAGUCAACAUGAAGCAUUAAUAGAAGAAAAAUGAAGGAGAGAUGAAAAUAAUGAAGGGCCCUCAAAAAGAACUACAAAGGGAGAAAAAGAACGACAACAAAAGAAUUCUAUUCAUGAAGAGACAAUGGAGAACAUUUCUACAAAAGAGAGGGAAAUUGGAAAAGAAAAAGCAAAGGCUCCUGCUUAUAAAUUACAAUCAAUUAUUGAAGUAGCUACAGAUUUGAAGAAGGUAUUGGAGGAGCGGAUUUUAAGUGGAAAGGUUGAAUUCACAAUUGGUGAAAUUCUAGAAAUUAUAAAGCGUAAAUUUCAUGAAGUUAUUAUUGAUACAAUAAAGAGAAAACGACAAUCUAUAAGAGACUCUAUGACAUCAAAUGCACAAGGAACAAGAGCAAUGGAAAGAAAUGAAGAUGAAGAAGAUGAAAUAAAAAAUUUUAGAGAUGUCUUGUGAGUAAGGUUUGUAGAAAAAGAAGAUGUCAUUCAAGCUUCUAGCCAUUAUUCUAGAAGUCAUUGGGCAAGGGCUACAACGGAGACUUUAAUAAAAUUGAGAAAUUUAGAAGAACCAAUUGUAGCAUUAAUUGAUCAUGGUUCUGAAAUCAAUUUGAUGUCAAAGGAAUUAUAUAACAAGAAAAAAUGGCCUAUUGAUACUGAACAUGGGUGGAUGAUAAGAGCUGCGAAUAAUUCAAAGGGAGAUUUGUAUGGAGCAUGUCCAAAUAUCAAAGUGACAAUUGGAGAUGUUAUUCAUGAAAAAAAUUUCUUUGUGUAAGACAUGUCUACAUACCCUAUUAUAUUGGGACAACCAUAUAUUAUUUCCACACGAAUGGAAAUAAAAGUAAUGGAUGAUGGUUCAGCUUAUGCAAGAAUAAGAAGCCAAGAUGGGAUGAAAGUAGUUCAAUUUUUAACUGUUUGUACUAAUCAUGAGAGAAAUCAUGAUAAGUCGAGAGAGAAACCAAUAUCAAAUGAGAAAUUUCAAGACCUUCAGGGUUUUUACCACACACCAUUGUAAGGUAGGGUUGCAAUGGAUUAGAGAAAGAAAAGCUUCCGCUUAAUUUAAAAGAAGAAUUGUUAUCUACCGGACUUAUUGGAAUGACACAAGAUUGUGUAUUGACUUUUAAGACUAUUGACAAAAUGAAAAAGAGAGACAGAUGUUAUAUUAAAUAUAUUGAGAAAAAUUUGAAAGAAAAUGGAGAAUUGGUUGAAAAUGAAUUUAUUUCAGGAGCAUAUGAAGAAGUAGGUUUUGUAGAUACUAUGGAGGAAUUAAAUUAUCCAUUAUAAUGUGGGUUACAAGUAGAGAAUAGAAUUAUUAAUGUAUGUUCUAAAGAAUUUUAUGAUGAAAUUUAAGGAUUUAAAGAAAAUUUAAGUCGCCAAGAGGUAUAUGUUGAAACUAAGUAUAAAUCAGUAGGAAAGAAGAUCAAACUAAUGGCUUUGCCACUACCAUCUGAUUGUGAAGAAAUGAUAAGUGGAGCAUCGACACAACCAAAUCUAAGAGAUCCAAGGAAGAUAGGGCAUAAAUUUAUGGAUGUUAUAUUAGAUGGGUUAAAUGUUGGAGGUGAUGGAUUUUUGACAAAAUAUGAAGAAAAAUGUUUUAGGGAUAUGCUUUUACAUCAUGGAAAAGCUUUUGCAUUUGAAGCACAUGAAAUUGGGUGUGUUGAUCCAAAUAUUGUAGCACCCAUGGUUAUUUUUACUAUUCCUCAUGAACCAUGGAAUUUGCAACUAAUUCUAGUACCAAGAGUGCAUUUAUCUAAGUUAGUAGAUUUAUUCAAUGAAAAGAUUAAAAUAGAAAUUUUGGAACUAUCUAUAAUACCUUAUUUUAAUCGAUGGUUUACAAUGCCAAAGAAAAAUGGAACAAUGAGAUUUAUAUAAGAUAUGCAACCCGUAAAUAAAGUGACUAUUAGAAAUAUGGGUUCAAGUCCAAUUGUGGAUGAAUUUAUAGAAGCAUUUGCUAGAAGAGCUAUCUACUCAAUGGAUGAUCUUUAUUCAGGUUAUGAUCAAUUUCAAUUGGCAAUACAAAGUAGGGAUUUGAAAACUAUGAAGACACCAUUAGGAUUGGUUAGAAUGUGCACAUUACCACAAGGGGCUACAAAUUCUGUAGCACAUAUGAUGAAUGGAAUGCAUAAGGUAUUAAGAGAUUUUAUUCUAAGAAUAACAAUGCCUUUCUUGGAUGAUGUACCUUUUAAGGGAUGUGAAGAAGAAAGAAAGGAUGAAACUUUAGAUUUAAAGGGAUGUAGAAAGUUUGUGGCAAACCAUAUUAAAGAUUGUGAGAAGAUUUUGAAAAGAUUGGAAGAAGUUCAUUUAACCUUAUCGGGGACAAAAUCAAUAUUUGGAGUAAAAGAAAUUUUGAUGGUAGGACACAUAUGUGGUUCAUAUGGACGUAAGCCAAGUAUAGAAAAGAUUGAUAUUAUUAAAAAGAUGAAAGAAUGUAAAAAUACAAUGGAAGUGAGAAGAUUUUUAGGAGCAUGUAUUUUCUAUCAUAUAUGGAUACCUCACUUUGCACAUAUAGUAGAUCCAUUGUAUGAGUUGUUAAGAAAGAAUUAAAAAUUUCAAUGGAAAGAAGAAUAACGGAAAGCUAUAGAAAAAUUGAAAGAACUUCUUUUUUCAUCUCCAACUUUGAAGAAAGUAAAUUAUGAAGGUGGAAGGCCAAUGGUAUUAACAGUUGAUGCAAGUCCAAUUGGAAUAGGUUGGGUGGUUGGGCAAGAUGAUGAACAAGGAAAUAGAUAUGUAGUAAGAUUUGGAGCAAAGGUAUUGAAUUCCAGGCAAAGGGCAUAUGCGCAAAUCAAAAGAGAAUCAUGGAGUAUAGUAAUAGCUAUGAAAAAUAAAAAAGAGUACUUGAUUGGAGCAUCAAUAGUUAUAGAAACAGAUUGUCUAUCUUUGUUAGGCAUGAUUACAAGUUGUUCAACUCUUGAUAUUGCUAUGUUGAGGUGGAUAGCAUAUAUCAAAUCUAUGAAUCCUGAAUUUAAACAUAUUGCAGGGAAAGAAAAUUCAGUUGCAGUUAUGUUAUUGAGAGCAAGGUAUAAUGAUAAAGAAAAGAUGAUUGAUUUAGAAGAUGAUGUGGGUACAAAAUUUUAUACCAAUGCAUUAUCAAAGAAAAAAGGUGUAUGUUUUAAUAUACCAUUGGAAGCAUUUUUAAGAGAUUUAUAUGAAAAUGAAUAGAAAGAUGUUGGAGAGUAUUUGAGCACAUUAAAACGACAAAAAGGUUGGACGGAUCAAGAAUUUAAGAAAAUUUGUAAGAAAGCCUAUGGAUAUUUUUUACAUGAUGGAUAUUUAUGGAAACAUCCAAAAAAGAGAGGAAAAGUACCACAAAGGGUGAUAUGUGGUUUAAAAGCUCAACAAAGGAUUAUUAAAGAAUUUCAUGAAAAUUUAUGGGCAGGGCAUCAAGGUAUUUGGGUAACAUUCACUAAAUUAAAGGAAAAAUAUUGGUGGAAAGGAAUAUACAAAGACAUAGCAAAAUUUGUAGAAUCUUGUGAGACUUGCCAAGUGUAUUCAAAUAUUCGGUAUUGAGAUGGGUUACAUCCAACAUACCUUUUGGCUUUACAUUACAAGUGGGUGGUGGAUUUAAUGGCAAUGCCUAUGGGAUUUGGACAAAUGAAGUAUUUGGUACUUGUACGAGAAGAUUUAUCGAAUAUGGUUGAAGGACGAGUAUUAAAAACAAAAGAUACUAAAGAUGUAUGUCGAUUUCUAUUAGAAGAAGUUAUUUGUCGUUAUGGAUGUAUUGGAAAAAUUACGGCAGAUAGGAGUGAAUUGGAUGCAAAAGAAGCACGAGAAUUUUUUAGUAGAAUAGGAAUUAAACUUUCUUUGACAACGGCAUAUAAUCCAGAAGAUAAUGGAAAAAGUGAGUGUGGGCAUUCACCUAUUGUUAAGGCAUUAGUAAAGACAUGCAAUGGCAAAGCACAUGAAUGGCCUAGACUACUACCAUUUGCAUUGUGGGCAGAUCGUACAACUCAUAGUUCGGUAACAUGUUAUAUGCCUUCUGAAUUAAUAUAUGGACAAAAGCCAAUAAUGCCAAUAGAAGAUGAAGUACAUACAUGGGGUGUAUUGCCUUGGAAAAAUGAUCUCAAUAGAGAAGAACUUUUAGCAUUAUAGAUUCAACAGCUAGAAAGAAGGCCCAAUGAUAUUAAAAUAGUAAUAAAAAAAUUGAAAGAAGCAAGGAAAAAAAAUAAAGAAAGAUUUGAUAAAAAGCAUCGACUACGACCUAAGGCUAUUGAAGAUGGUGAUUGGAUAUUAGUUUAUGAUAGUAGCUUAGACAAUCAACAUAGCACUAUGAAGAAGUUUGCAAAGAGAUGGUUUAGACCAUAUAUUGUCAAAAAGGCACACAACAAUGGAACAUAUUCAUUACAAGAACUUGAUGGUACAGAAUUGAAGGUACUCAUAGCAGGCAAACGAAUCAAGUUAUUUAAACAAAGAGAUGAAGACAUUUUUUUUGAUGAAGAACAAACUUCAAUACAAGAUAUUGAGAUUGGAAUAGAAGAGUACACUGAAAAUCAAGAAUUAUACCAAGAUGAAGAACAUUCCACAUCAACAUAUUGAAGAAUUGUUGGUGCAUGCCAGAGGAUGCACAAAUAGGGUUUAUGUUUUGAGUGAUUUCGAGAGUUUUGUUGCAGAUCUAUAGAUGAAAUUUUUUGGAUUUAUGAUUAUAGUUGUGUUAAAUAUAUGUUAUAAAUUUGAGCUCGAUCUAACGGUUGAAGUGAGAGAUAUUGAGGUUUAAGCAGGUCAAGGUCUCAGAAAGUAGAAUUUUAGGUCCAGUGAGGGUUUUUAAGAUUUCCUACAAUCUACUAGUUGGAUUGGAGUAAAACUUGUGUGAGAGGGUAUUAGACUUGUUUUUCUAUGUCCAUGAGAAAUUUGAAACCAAUUGAAUGGUGCAAUGAAGAGAAAUUGGCUCUAGAAGGUUGGCAUCAAGAUUGGAGAAGGAGGCCGGCUAACACCCAAACACAUUUUUGAGGUUUUCGUCAAUUUGGUAACUUCGAUCCUUUUCAAAUUUUUUUGUACUUGUUUUAAACUUGAUUUUUAAAAAUUAUGAAAAUUUUGAAUUGAGAUCAAUGGUUUAUUCAUUAGAUAUUGAGGUUUAAAUCUGUCAUAGGAAUUACUAGGAUUUGGAUUAGGGUUUGGCUAGGAUUCGAUUUAGGAUUUGAUUUAGAGUUUAGGGUUUGGAUUAGGGUUUGGUUAGGAUUUGAUUUAGGAUUUGGAUUAGGAUUUGGAUUAGGAUUUAGAGUUUGAUUAAGAUUUGAUUUAGGGUUUGAAUUAGGGUUUGAUUUAGGAUUUGGAUAAGGAUUUAGGAUUUGAUUAGGAUUUAGGAUUAGAUUAGGGUUUGGAUUAGGGUUUAGAAUUUAGUUAGGAUUUGAUUUAAGAUUUGGUUUAGGGUUUGGAUUAGGAUUUAGGGUUGAUUUAGGAUUUGAUUUAGGGUUUAGGAUUUGAAAUAGGAUUUGAUUUAGGGUUUAAUUUAAGGUUUGUUUAGGAUUUGAUUUAGGGUUUAGGAUUUAUUAGGAUUUAAGAUUUAAUUAUGUUUGGUCUAAAGUUUGAGUGAAAUUCAAUAGGGUUUUAAGUAGAAUUAAAUUAAGGUUGAAUUGACAUAUAUUUGAGUAAUAUUUGUGAUCAUUCUAAUAUUUCUUUAAGAAUUUAAUUGUUUGUUUGAAAUUUCUUUGAGUUGUUUUGAAUUUGAUUACGUUUAUUUACCAUUAUUAUAGUCUAAUUAGAGUAUUGUUAGUAUUCUAUUAGAAUUAGGAUUUUGUU